CUUAAAAGCAUACAUAUGAGGCAAUAAACACAAACACACAAAUUAAUUAUAGAAUACUAAAAAUAAAUUAAUAAUUAUUACAACAAUUUACAACACAAACGUAGGACAAAUCACUCAUGAAUUUUGAAAACAUAAGCAAAACUUAAAACAAAUAUCAUGUCAUCAUUAAAGGGACACUUGCUGCUGUCAAUAACCUCAAGCAAGGUACUCGAUCUGAUCUUGAACAUUACACUGAUAUGCGAGCUCUAUGGUAGGAAUUAAACUCGCAUCGUCCUAUGCCUAAUUGUACCUGUGUUCACCAAUGCUGCUGUGAGGCUAUGCGCGCUGCACGCACAUAUCGAUUGGAAGACCAAAUCAUGCAAUUCCUAACAGGUUUGAAUGAGAAUUUUUCUGUUGUAAGAACUCAAGUUUUGCUAAUGGAUCCAUUGCCUACAAUCAAUAAAGUGUAUUCAUUAGUCUCUCAAGAAGAGAGUAAUCAUGCUCUCUUUAAUCCGGUUAAUCAAAAUUCUGAUGAAAAUAAUGUCUUGGUUAAUGCUUCUUCUGCAAGAAGAUCCUAUAUUCCUAUAAUCGUGGUAAAGCUCCUGUUAACAAUGGUAAAGGCAAAGGUGACACACGACACUGCACAUUUUGUGAUAAGAAUGGCCAUACUGUUGACUGGUGUUAUAAGAAACAUGGCAAUCCCAGUAGUUGUGAAUUUACCAAAUGGUUGUGAAUUGUGCUGGUAAUGUUCACUUUUCACCUCAUUUAUACAUAACCAAUGUCCUUUACUCUGCAGAAUUUAGACUUAAUCUAAUUUCUGUCUCCAAAUUGUGUGCUAAUCUAUCGUGCAUUGUUCAAUUUUCCUCUAAUGGUUGUAUGUUGCAGGAAGUGACCUCCAAAAAGACGAUUGGUUUGGGUGAUCAAGUUGAUGGUCUCUAUAGAUUGGUGGUGAAUGGAGCACACCCUACUUUAGUACUAUGCCCUCUUUACAUUUGUUACCUUCAAAUAAGCAUGUCAUUCUGACUUGUACCAGUAGUUAUGCUAAUACUAGUUUUGUUAUCCCUCUCCAAGAACAUGUUCACAUCAACAGACCAAAUCUCGGUGCAUUACAGGCUGAGAUCCUUUGAUCUUAGAUUCAACUCACUAGGGGGUCAGAUAUCUAUUAUCACGUAUACGAAAAUUUCUAUAAUAUUGAUUUGUGUCAUGAAAAAAAUUUGAAGGAGAGAUUACAAAUGCUAUUGGAGAGCUUCAUGCACUCAUAAGACUCAACCAUUCACACAAUAUACUUGUUUUGUCCUAUUCGACAGUCCUUAGGAAAUUUUAUAAACAUAGAAUCAAUGGAUCUCUCAUCCAAAUAUGCUUGCCGGUAGGAUUCCUACAGAGUUAUAACCAAUCUAAACUUUCUUGCAGUCUUGAGUGUCGCCUGAAACAAUAUUGAAGGCGUUAUACCUAGAGGAGAACCGUUUGAUACAUUUUCAAGUGAUUCCUAUGAAGUAAAAAUUGCAGAAAAAAUUCUCCACCUUCAACAACCUCUGAUGAGCAUGAACAAAAAUUUGGAUUUGGUUGGCAACCUGUGGCUAUAGGAUAUGGAUGCGGAAUGGUAUUUGCUGUUGGCUUGGGAUGUUUUGUGUUGUUUAUAGGAAAAUCUCAAUGGCUUGUGAGCAUGGUUGGUAGGACUAGGAGGCAAGUCUAAUAGAAGCCGGACGAGAAGGAUGAGGGUUCAUGAAAGAAUAAACAAGAAUCAAUUGCUGCAAAUGUGAUAUGAUUUAUGAUUGAUGUGCAUAUAGUAUUGUAAUUUAUCAUUUUCAUUUUAUUUUAUAUCUACUUAUCAUAAAAAAUUAAAUUUGUGUGUAUUAGUAACCUUGUCACUCUUACACAGGUUCUCCAUGGCUUAAAGGUGUUUUAAUUCUGUCUCGGGAAUGCUGGACGGGUGUUUUAAGUUCAAAAACAGUUGUUUAUGUUACUCAUAGAGUGGAGUUCUUACCUACUGCUGAUAUUGGUCAUGAAAGAUGGAAAAAUUAGUCAAAGUGGAAAGUAUGCUGAUCUGCUUAAACAUUGGGACCGAUUUUAUGGAACUCAUAGGCGCACACAGAGAUGCUUUGUCUACCCUUCAAUCCUUGGAUGGAGGAAAAACAUCUGAUGAAAUAAGUACAUUAGAACAAGAUGUAAAUAUAUGCGACGCUCAUGAAGAGGUAAACAAAGAUGAGCAAAAUGGUAAAGCAGAAGAUAAAGAAGAACCAAACGGCCAACUUGUUCAAGAAGAAGAAAGGGAGAAAGGUAAAGUUGGAUUUUCAGUUUAUUGGAAUUAUCUCACAACUGCAUAUGGAGGAGCUCUCGUACCGUUCUUAUGGAAUUAUCUUAAAAUGAUGGGUCAAUUUUCUUUGUAACAUAAAAAAGUGAAUGGCUUGGGCAACUCCCAUCUCAGCCAAUGUGGAGGCACCCGUUGAAGGAACAACUCUGAUUGAAGUCUAUGUUGGAUUGGCCAUUGGAAGUUCUUUAUGUAUUGUUGAAUGUUACAGUCGGUUAUAUGACAGCCACUAUAAUCUUCAACAAAAUGCAUGUCUGCAUUUUUCGUCAUUUUUUUAUGCUACUCCAAGUGGACGAGUCCUUAAUAGGGAAUAAUGGUGAAACACUGCGCACACUCAGAUUUGGACAACGACUAAGAUCUAUGAUCGAAAUGAGCAUGUUAUCAAUGAAAUAAAGGAGGAUGAUGUUAAUUAUUUGAGUGAUCAAAUCCAACAGCUGAAGGAAGAACUUAUUAGAGCAAAGGCUGAUGUUUGUAGCUCAGAUGGGAAUAAAAAAGGAUAUCUCCAUGUACAGAAUGUACGGGAAAGCCUGAAUAAUUUGAGGGUCAGCUUAAACUGCUCUCUACUCAUACCUAAUAUCGAUAAUGAUACCGAUGAUGAAUGUGGACGAGGAGGACAUAGAGGAAUUACGCCAGCAGAUUGAUGAAUUUUAUAGUUCAUGUGAAGUAAAUCCUAUAGACAUAUCUGUCAGUGAAGAUUGUGUUCAGUAUUAUUCUGUUGAGGAAAGUUGCAAGGCAGAUAUGACCUGUGGUGAUGAAAUUGAAAAAGGAGAAGUAUGUUCGGGAGAAGCAUUUUACAAGCUUUGUCAUGAGGACAGUGUGGCAUCUGAUAACACCUUGUAUGCCUCAGCCAACGACACCUCAAGCCAAGGGCCAUUAGAUCUUCAUUCAGAGAUAGCAUCUCAGUCAGCUUAAGGGGAAACAUGAUUACAAAUGACAACCCUCUUUGAGUCUCACAGGGAACAAUGUAGGAGGUGAGCUACCACCAUCACUGCUUUCUAGACUUGGAUUUUUGACGAAAUAAGUUCAUUGGUCGAAUUCCGAAUGUGUUUGGUAGGCUAACCAAAUUGAAAACUCUGAAUCUUAAGAAUAACUAUUUAGAAGAACAAAUUCCAUCUUCACUCUUUC